AGAGUUUGAUCCUGGCUCAGGAUGAACGCUAGCGGCAGGCUUAACACAUGCAAGUCGAGGGGCAGCAUAAUGGAUAGCAAUAUCUAUGGUGGCGACCGGCGCACGGGUGCGUAACGCGUAUGCAACCUACCUUUAACAGGGGGAUAACACUGAGAAAUUGGUACUAAUACCCCAUAAUAUCAUAGAAGGCAUCUUUUAUGGUUGAAAAUUCCGAUGGUUAGAGAUGGGCAUGCGUUGUAUUAGCUAGUUGGUGGGGUAACGGCUCACCAAGGCGACGAUACAUAGGGGGACUGAGAGGUUAACCCCCCACACUGGUACUGAGACACGGACCAGACUCCUACGGGAGGCAGCAGUGAGGAAUAUUGGUCAAUGGACGCAAGUCUGAACCAGCCAUGCCGCGUGCAGGAAGACGGCUCUAUGAGUUGUAAACUGCUUUUGUACUAGGGUAAACGCUUCUACGUGUAGGAGUCUGAAAGUAUAGUACGAAUAAGGAUCGGCUAACUCCGUGCCAGCAGCCGCGGUAAUACGGAGGAUCCAAGCGUUAUCCGGAUUUAUUGGGUUUAAAGGGUGCGUAGGCGGUUUGAUAAGUUAGAGGUGAAAUUUCGGGGCUCAACCCUGAACGUGCCUCUAAUACUGUUGAGCUAGAGAGUAGUUGCGGUAGGCGGAAUGUAUGGUGUAGCGGUGAAAUGCUUAGAGAUCAUACAGAACACCGAUUGCGAAGGCAGCUUACCAAACUAUAUCUGACGUUGAGGCACGAAAGCGUGGGGAGCAAACAGGAUUAGAUACCCUGGUAGUCCACGCAGUAAACGAUGAUAACUCGUUGUCGGCGAUACACAGUCGGUGACUAAGCGAAAGCGAUAAGUUAUCCACCUGGGGAGUACGUUCGCAAGAAUGAAACUCAAAGGAAUUGACGGGGGCCCGCACAAGCGGAGGAACAUGUG
rnacentral:rRNA from 1 species